rnacentral:rRNA from 1 species
CUGGAUCAGGAUGGACACCUNAGUUAGUUGCUGAUCUUGACGUUAGCNNNGGACGGGNGAGUAAACACGUAGGUAACCUACCUAUAAGACUGGGAUAACUUCGGGAAACCGGAGCUAAUACCGGAUAAUAUUUCGAACCGCAUGGUUCGAUAGUGAAAGAUGGCUUUGCUAUCACUUAUAGAUGGACCUGCGCCGUAUUAGCUAGUUGGUAAGGUAACGGCUUACCAAGGCAACGAUACGUAGCCGACCUGAGAGGGUGAUCGGCCACACUGGAACUGAGACACGGUCCAGACUCAUACGGGAGGCAGCAGUAGGGAAUCUUCCGCAAUGGGCGAAAGCCUGACGGAGCAACGCCGCGUGAGUGAUGAAGGUCUUCGGAUCGUAAAACUCUGUUAUUAGGGAAGAACAAACGUGUAAGUAACUGUGCACGUCUUGACGGUACCUAAUCAGAAAGCCACGGCUAACUACGUGCCAGCAGCCGCGGUAAUACGUAGGUGGCAAGCGUUAUCCGGAAUUAUUGGGCGUAAAGCGCGCGUAGGCGGUUUUUUAAGUCUGAUGUGAAAGCCCACGGCUCAACCGUGGAGGGUCAUUGGAAAACUGGAAAACUUGAGUGCAGAAGAGGAAAGUGGAAUUCCAUGUGUAGCGGUGAAAUGCGCAGAGAUAUGGAGGAACACCAGUGGCGAAGGCGACUUUCUGGUCUGUAACUGACGCUGAUGUGCGAAAGCGUGGGGAUCAAACAGGAUUAGAUACCCUGGUAGUCCACGCCGUAAACGAUGAGUGCUAAGUGUUAGGGGGUUUCCGCCCCCUUAGUGCUGCAGCUAAACGCAUUAAAGCACUCCCGCCUGGGGGAGUACGACCCGCAAGGUUGAAAACUCAAAGGGAAUUGACGGGGGACCCGCACAAAGCGGUGGAAGCAUGGUGGGUUAAAUUCGGAAGCAAC